rnacentral:lncRNA from 1 species
CUUUAAAGCUAUUUAUAAAUAGUGGCUAAUUGUAUUCAUAUUUCAAAAGAAACUUAAUUGUAGGAAGGAUGAAAACGAUACAUUUUAUCUUUUUUGCACUACUUAACUUUGUUGUGCCAAUUGAGCCUUCUCAGGAUGUGAAACAAAGUAUACAAAUUUUAAUAGUUGAUAUUUAUGCACAAUUAUUUUUCUUUAAUUUAUAUCUAAUAAGUUUUUUCAUUUAUUUACAGUUGGGGAGACAGAAGAAUCAAAGGCAAGUAUUAGGGUAGAUAGCUAUGCAUAUUGGCCG